CCCCCCCCCUUUACGGCCGGCGCGGGGCCCCGGGUGGGCGGGCGGGCGGCGCGCAUGGGGGCGGGCGCGGCAGCGCUGGGGCGGGCGGCGCUGGCGGCGGCGCUGGUGCUGCUCUACUACGGCUUCUCCAUCGGCAUCACCUUCUACAACAAGUGGCUCGUGAAGAGCUUCCCGUUCCCGCUGCUCGCCACCCUGCUCCACCUCCUGCUCAUCUUCGCGCUCUCGGCGCUGUUCCGCGCCCUGGCGCGCUGCCGCUCCGGGCGGCCGCGGGCGACGCUCUCCUGGGCCGACUGCCUCCGCCGGGCGGCCCCCGCAGCUUUGUCUACUUCAUUGGAUAUUGGACUGAGUAACUGGAGCUUCCUGUAUGUCACUGUCUCCCUCUACACGAUGACCAAAUCCUCUGCCAUUCUCUUCAUCCUGCUUUUUUCACUGCUCUUCAAGCUGGAGGAAAUGAGGGUAGCAUUGGUGCUGGUGGUUCUGCUCAUCGCUGGGGGGCUCUUCAUGUUCACCUACAAGUCCACACAGUUCAACACACAAGGGUUCAUGCUGGUGCUCUGUGCCUCUUUCCUUGGGGGUAUUCGCUGGACUCUCACGCAGAUACUUAUGCAGAAGGCUGAACUGGGGCUCCAGAACCCCAUUGAUAUCAUGUUUCACCUGCAGCCGCUCAUGUUCCUGGUGCUCUUCCCUCUGUUUGCAGUGUUUGAGGGCCUGCCUUUGUCCGUAUCAGAGAAGCUCUUCCAUUUCCAUGAAGCAGGAAUGCUGCCCUGUCUGGUAGGGAAGCUGUUCUUGGGUGGAAUUCUUGCCUUUGGUCUAGGCUUUUCUGAGUUCCUCUUGGUUUCCAGAACAUCUAGCCUCACCCUUUCCGUUGCUGGCAUUUUUAAGGAAAUCUGCAUUUUACUCCUCGCCACACGUUUGCUGGGAGACCACCUCAGUCUCUUGAACUGGCUGGGUUUUGCUGUCUGUCUGUCAGGAAUCUCCCUUCAUGUCAUUCUCAAAGCCAUAAAUACCAAAGGUGAAAAAACACUGAAUCUAAAUGAAGAGGCAAGCUCUGACCCUGACCUGGAGCUGCUGCUGCACCACACUGAACAUGGGGAGGAGGAAGAGGAUGUUGAAACCAUACAACAACACUGAGUGAACAUGAAGCACAAAGAAAGGCUGCUUCUCUGUUCUUAACCGGACCUGUCUGACAACUGUCUGGGAGGAAGGUCCAAGACUCUGUGACUUCCCAAAGGAGAGCCAGUGCCUGCACCUGAACUGGAUCCUCUCUGAGCCGCUGCCAGCUCCAGGGAUUACAAGUGAAUAUUUCAGGAAACUGCUAGCACUGUGGCACUGAUGGCAGAACCAGGUGGUAUGAGACAGUGGGAGCUACUGUCCAGCCAGUGGCUUCUUGCUCACUCUGAGAAGAUCACUUGGCACAUCUUCCUAUGCUUCUGGACUUGAACUGGAGAACUGACUUGGUGGCUAGCUGCUGCUGGGCAAGAAGAUAUACCUCCAGGGUCAUCGUGCUGUUGUCUCCAGGCACGGGUGGAGGAGGGAAGUGUUUGCAGUGGACUGAGAGGUGGAGAUGCAGAGCAUUUGGGUGUAUUGUUUAUGUUUGCUGAGUGCAGAGCAGAAGUCUGCUUGGCUCUUCCAGUGUGCCCUGAACUCCACAGGGUAAGGAAGCAGAAGAGACAUCCCUCACCGGGUCCCAGGGUACGUGUCAGACCAUCAGUGGUCUCUGUGGUCUGUGUUUGCACAGUGCCAAGUGUUGCUAGUUCUCAAGACAAGGGGCACAGAAAGAUAUGCUGGAAAAUUAUUUUUAACCUCCUGCAAUUUACUGUUCAGAAAGGUAAGUCACGUCUGUCAAGGCUGGUUCAGUAGCAGCCACUGUGGAGGCAAUCUUUUCCUGAUAUACACAUCUUUUUGCAAGGUGGUGCUCACAAAAUUUAAGUAUGAUCUUUCAUGGUUUCCAGGAGCUCUUGGAAGAACUAACAAGCAUAUCACAGGGUCCAGCGUUAAACUCUUCCCUGCUGGGAUGCAGUAGAGAACAGAAACUGUCAAACAGUUUGAGAUCCAUUUAAUAGCAAUUAGUGUGGAUGAAAGAAGCACUAACGUGAAAGCCUCAGUCUCUGCGCCUAGGGUGAGAGGAGGAGAGGAACGUAUAAGAGAAAAUGUAAACAUGACAAAAUGUGGUCGUGUAUCCCACAAAACAAUGAAUCAUUUUAACCUUUCCCAUCCUUUUCAU